rnacentral:rRNA from 3 species
CGCUGUGAAGAUGCAGUGUACCCGCGGCAAGACGGAAAGACCCCGUGAACCUUUACUAUAGCUUGACACUGAACAUUGAGCCUUGAUGUGUAGGAUAGGUGGGAGGCUUUGAAGUGUGGACGCCAGUCUGCAUGGAGCCGACCUUGAAAUACCACCCUUUAAUGUUUGAUGUUCUAACGUGGACCCGUAAUCCGGGUUGCGGACAGUGUCUGGUGGGUAGUUUGACUGGGGCGGUCUCCUCCUAAAGAGUAACGGAGGAGCACGAAGGUUGGCUAAUCCUGGUCGGACAUCAGGAGGUUAGUGCAAUGGCAUAAGCCAGCUUGACUGCGAGCGUGACGGCGCGAGCAGGUGCGAAAGCAGGUCAUAGUGAUCCGGUGGUUCUGAAUGGAAGGGCCAUCGCUCAACGGAUAAAAGGUACUCCGGGGAUAACAGGCUGAUACCGCCCAAGAGUUCAUAUCGACGGCGGUGUUUGGCACCUCGAUGUCGGCUCAUCACAUCCUGGGGCUGAAGUAGGUCCCAAGGGUAUGGCUGUUCGCCAUUUAAAGUGGUACGCGAGCUGGGUUUAGAACGUCGUGAGACAGUUCGGUCCCUAUCUGCCGUGGGCGCUGGAGAACUGAGGGGGGCUGCUCCUAGUACGAGAGGACCGGAGUGGACGCAUCACUGGUGUUCGGGUUGUCAUGCCAAUGGCACUGCCCGGUAGCUAAAUGCGGAAGAGAUAAGUGCUGAAAGCAUCUAAGCACGAAACUUGCCCCGA